rnacentral:rRNA from 1 species
GCCAGACUCCUACGGGAGGCAGCAGUGAGGAAUAUUGGUCAAUGGGCGGGAGCCUGAACCAGCCAAGUCGCGUGAGGGAAGACGGUCCUACGGAUUGUAAACCUCUUUUGCCGGGGAGCAGAGGUCCGGACGUGUCCGGGCCGGGAGAGUACCCGGAGAAAAAGCAUCGGCUAACUCCGUGCCAGCAGCCGCGGUAAUACGGAGGAUGCGAGCGUUAUCCGGAUUUAUUGGGUUUAAAGGGUGCGUAGGCGGGCAUUUAAGCCGGCGGUCAAAUGUCGGGGCUCAACCCCGGCCUGCCGUCGGAACUGGGUGCCUUGAGUGGGCGAGAAGUAUGCGGAAUGCGUGGUGUAGCGGUGAAAUGCAUAGAUAUCACGCAGAACCCCGAUUGCGAAGGCAGCAUACCGGCGCCCUACUGACGCUGAGGCACGAAAGUGCGGGUAUCGAACAGGAUUAGAUACCCUAGUAC